AGAGUUUGAUCCUGGCUCAGAUUGAACGCUGGCGGCAGGCCUAACACAUGCAAGUCGAGCGGUAACAGGGGAGCUUGCUCCUGCUGACGAGCGGCGGACGGGUGAGUAACGCGUGGGAAUCUGCCCAUUGGUGGGGGAUAGCCCGGAGAAAUUCGGAUUAAUACCGCAUAAUACCUGAGGGUUAAAACGGGGGAUCAUUAGACCUCGUGCCAAUGGAUGAGCCCGCGUCAGAUUAGCUAGUUGGUAAGGUAAAGGCUUACCAAGGCGACGAUCUGUAGCUGGCCUGAGAGGGUGGUCAGUCACACUGGAACUGAGACACGGUCCAGACUCCUACGGGAGGCAGCAGUGGGGAAUAUUGGGCAAUGGGCGCAAGCCUGACCCAGCCAUGCCGCGUGUGUGAAGAAGGCUUUCGGGUUGUAAAGCACUUUAAGUUGGGAGGAAGGCUGCUUAGUUAAUACCUAAGUAGAUUGACGUUACCAACAGAAUAAGCACCGCUAAU
rnacentral:rRNA from 1 species